AUGCUGCGGACGGUUCUGCGCCGGGGAGGGGCGGCCAUGAGGCAGGCCGCGCUGGCCGAGGGAUCUACGGGGAACCUUCUACGGCUGAGCGUGGCGGAGCGGGAGCGCUCUCGGCGGCGUCGGCGCGACCCGGGGCGCGACGAGUUCUUCGUGCCAACGCCGGAGUCGCUUAAAUGGCUCGACUCCGUCACCCUGCCCAUGAUCCUCACCGCCGCCGCCGUCGCCCUCUUCACCAAGCUCCUCAUGAUGGAACAUGAAGCUACAGACCAAGAAAGGAGGGAACGCAAGAUAAAGAAUAGUCACCCUGAGCAAGGAACAGUAAGGAUGCUUUCGCGUGAAGAGUGGGAUGAAAUCCAAGAAGUCAGGCCAAGGACCCCUUUUGAAUCAAAGUUAGCUCGUCCACAUGCCCGCCUAAGAACUGGGGAAAAAAUGCGGCUGGAGGAUGCCAAGGAUUGGGUUGUUGAUGUGCUGACUGAUGCUUUCACUAGAGCGGAAGAGAGUGCUAAGCGGAAGUGA
rnacentral:rRNA from 1 species